GGGCUCGUAGCUCAGUGGCCAGAGCGCUCGGUUCACAUCCGAGAGGUCAUCCGUUCAAAUCGGAUCGAGCCCACCA
rnacentral:tRNA from 1 species